CAGCCGCCACGGGAAUACGUAGGGUGCAAGCGUUGAUCGGAAUUACUGGGCGUAAAGCGUGCGCAGGCGGUUUGUUAAGACAGAUGUGAAAUCCCGGGGCUUAACCUGGGAACUGCGCUUGUGACUGUAUAGCUAGAGUACGGUAGAGGGGGAUGGAAUUCCGCGUGUAGCAGUGAAAUGCGUAGAUAUGCGGAGGAACACCGAUGGCGAAGGCAAUCCCCUGGACCUGUACUGACGCUCAUGCACGAAAGCGUGGGGAGCAAACAGGAUUAGAUAUCCCCGUAGUCCCUGUCUCUUAUAA
rnacentral:rRNA from 1 species